rnacentral:rRNA from 1 species
UACAGAGGUGUCAAACGUUGUCCGGAAUUACUGGGCGUAAAGGGCGCGUAGGCGGCCUUAUAAGUCAUGUGUGAAAGCUCUGGGCUCAACCCAGGAAUUGCAUGUGAUACUGUAAGGCUUGAGUUCGGUAGAGGAGGGCGGAAUUCCAGGUGUAGCGGUGAAAUGCGUAGAUAUCAGGAGGAACACCAAUAGCGAAGGCAGCUCGCUGGGACGGUACUGACGCUAAGGCGCGAAAGCGUGGGGAGCGAACAGG